rnacentral:rRNA from 1 species
GGCGGCGUGCCUAAUACAUGCAAGUCGAACGCGCAGCGAAAGGUGCUUGCACCUUUCAAGCGAGUGGCGAACGGGUGAGUAACACGUGGAUAACCUGCCUCAAGGCUGGGGAUAACAUUUGGAAACAGAUGCUAAUACCGAAUAAAACUUAGUAUCGCAUGAUACAAAGUUGAAAGGCGCUACGGCGUCACCUAGAGAUGGGUCCGCGGUGCAUUAGUUAGUUGGUGGGGUAAAGGCCUACCAAGACAAUGAUGCAUAGCCGAGUUGAGAGACUGAUCGGCCACAUUGGGACUGAGACACGGCCCAAACUCCUACGGGAGGCUGCAGUAGGGAAUCUUCCACAAUGGGCGAAAGCCUGAUGGAGCAACGCCGCGUGUGUGAUGAAGGCUUUAGGGUCGUAAAGCACUGUUGUAUGGGAAGAAAUGCUAGAAUAGGGAAUGAUUCUAGUUCGACGGUACCAUACCAGAAAGGGACGGCUAAAUACGUGCCAGCAGCCGCGGUAAUACGUAUGUCCCGAGCGUUAUCCGGAUUUAUUGGGCGUAAAGCGAGCGCAGACGGUUGAUUAAGUCUGAUGUGAAAGCCCGGAGCUCAACUCCGGAAUGGCAUUGGAAACUGGUUAACUUGAGUGUUGUAGAGGUAAGUGGAACUCCAUGUGUAGCGGUGGAAUGCGUAGAUAUAUGGAAGAACACCAGUGGCGAAGGCGGCUUACUGGACAACAACUGACGUUGAGGCUCGAAAGUGUGGGUAGCAAACAGGAUUAGAUACCCUGGUAGUCCACACCGUAAACGAUGAAUACUAGGUGUUAGGAGGUUUCCGCCUCUUAGUGCCGAAGCUAACGCAUUAAGUAUUCCGCCUGGGGAGUACGAC